GGGCGUGUAGGCGGCCUGGGGCGUCCCAUGUGAAAGACCACGGCUCAACCGUGGGGGAGUGUGGGAUACGCUCAGGCUAGACGGUGGGAGAGGGUGGUGGAAUUCCCGGAGUAGCGGUGAAAUGCGCAGAUACCGGGAGGAACGCCGAUGGCGAAGGCAGCCACCUGGUCCACCCGUGACGCUGAGGCGCGAAAGCGUGGGGAGCAAACCGGAUUAGAUACCCGGGUAGUCCACGCCCUAAACGAUGCGCGCUAGGUCUCUGGGUCUCCUGGGGGCCGAAGCUAACGCGUUAAGCGCGCCGCCUGGGGAGUACGGCCGCAAGGCUGAAACUCAAAGGAAUUGACGGGGGCCCGCACAAGCGGUGGAGCAUGUGGUUUAAUUCGAAGCAACGCGAAGAACCUUACCAGGCCUUGACAUGCUAGGGAACCCGGGUGAAAGCCUGGGGUGCCCCGCGAGGGGAGCCCUAGCACAGGUGCUGCAUGACCGUCGUCAGCUCGUGCCGUGAGGUGUUGGGUUAAGUCCCGCAACGAGCGCAACCCCCCGCCGUUAGUUGCCAGCGGGUGAGGCCGGGGCACUCUAAACGGGGACUGCCCGCGAAAGCGGGAGGAAGGAGGGGACGACGUCUGGUCAGCAUGGCCCUUACGGCCUGGCGACACACGUGCUACAAUGCCCACUACAAAGCGAUGCCACCCGGCAACGGGGAGCUGAUCGCAAAAAGUGGCCCAGUUCGGAUUGGGGUCUGCAACCCGACCCCAUGAAGCCGGAAUCGCUAGUAAUCGCGGAUCAGCAUGCCGCGUGAUACGUUCCCGGGCCUUGUACACACGCUCGUCACGCAUGGGAGCGG
rnacentral:rRNA from 1 species